rnacentral:rRNA from 1 species
AUUGAACGCUGGCGGCAUGCCUUACACAUGCAAGUCGAACGGUAACAGGUCUUCGGAUGCUGACGAGUGGCGAACGGGUGAGUAAUACAUCGGAACGUGCCUAGUAGUGGGGGAUAACUACUCGAAAGAGUGGCUAAUACCGCAUGAGAUCUACGGAUGAAAGCAGGGGAUCGUAAGACCUUGUGCUACUAGAGCGGCCGAUGGCAGAUUAGGUAGUUGGUGGGAUAAAAGCUUACCAAGCCGACGAUCUGUAGCUGGUCUGAGAGGAUGACCAGCCACACUGGGACUGAGACACGGCCCAGACUCCUACGGGAGGCAGCAGUGGGGAAUUUUGGACAAUGGGCGCAAGCCUGAUUCAGCAAUGCCGCGUGCAGGAUGAAGGCCUUCGGGUUGUAAACUGCUUUUGUACGGAGCGAAAAGGCUCUCUCUAAUACAGGGGGCUCAUGACGGUACCGUAAGAAUAAGCACCGGCUAACUACGUGCCAGCAGCCGCCGUAAGAC